GCUUUGCAGGCGGGCAGCUGCGGGCUCUGGAGGGAAAAGGGGGGUGUGUGUGUGAUUUGAUUGAAUCACAGGUGCGUAAAGAAAGAGGUUCGGGAACCUGGGCUGGAUUUCAGGGAACUUGAAAGUCAGACUGAGGGUAGUUUUCUGAAUAGGAAAUAGACACUUGACCCAGCGGGGGUCACAGGCAGAACUUUCCAGAGGCCACGUGUAGGGAAGCCCUGAAUUAGGACACAGCAGCGUGGGAGCCAGGGAGACCCCGCAGGCACAGAACCCAGGAGACCUGUCAGAAUAGCGUAAUGGGGCUGGGACUCUACCAACCGGUAAGCGAGUCUGCGUUUGCUUCUGUGUUUCAAAAGCUCCAUAGAUUCAUCCAUCUGACAAAUCUGGGUCAGAUGUGUGCUGGGGGCUGAGCACACAGCCCUGAGCAAGGUAGACAGGCUCCCUCCCCCAACCCCGUGGGAGGGAGGCGGACCCUAAACAACUGACUCCAUCUGGAAACAAGGGGCCAAGGAACAGGGUGAUGUGACAUGCCUGGUGGCAGGGCCAGAAGAGCAGCUCAGGUGGCGGAGGUGACACUGGGCUGAACUUUAAAGGAUGAGCAUAAGAGCCGCACAAAGUUGGGAGAAGAGCCAGCAUUUGAAUCCAAAUGACGAUUUAGGGCGUUACCUUUGGCCGUCAAGACACCGAGGUCCCACUGUGGCCCCCAUGCCACGGACGACCUCUUGUUUUCUGUCCUGUAGAGUCGAUGUCCCACUUGUCUCUUGCACCUAAUAGUCUCACCCUCUAAUGAGGUCUUUUUUCUCCCGCAGUGGUUAUGGGCCAGUUUCCCAUCUCUUCUUCCAAAGAGCCCAUCACUGGGUGUUCAGAGAAUCUAAUUCACGCACCAUUUGGUUUGGGAAGAAAGACCUGUGGAAGAGGCGGGGCUUUCAGCUGGAGCCUUUCUCCCCAUCCUCCCGAGCUCGCCCAAGACUCCCCACCCACACUGGGUGGGAAAAUCAUCUAGCGAGAGUUUCACCGCUCAUUUCGCGGAGUAAUGCAAAGAGGGAGAAGCCAGAGGGUUCCCAGGGCCGCCUGUACGUGGCCAACCAGCAGGUGAGGAGGCAUUUCAGCAGAGGGCACGACGGCCUGGGAACCUCCGCCGCUCCCUGCAGGGUUCAUGUAACUCCUCCCGUCGGCCCAGCGCGGCCUGUGACGGAUCAGGAGCACGAAGGGCUGAGGGUGUGUGUGGCUCAUGGAUACAGACACGGUCUCAGCUGAGAGAGAAAACCGGCCCCUCACCUGGCAGCACUGCGUAAUGAUAUUCCAGCUGAAAACAAAACGAGAAAAGCAGUCAAGCUUCCCCCACGCCCCAGACACCAAAACAGAACAACGCCACUGCUUAUGGGGACCUGCGGGCGGGCGGGGGUGUGAAGCUUUGUAAGCUCGGGUCUGGUUUGG
rnacentral:lncRNA from 9 species